UAGAAAAAUGAGGGCAAGUGGAUGGCGACAGUCGGCCGCCGGUUCAGAGGCGCUCAGACGUGCGAAGGACUACAUCAUUACAUUACCUAUAUGACACGUAAAGACGGCUAAAUAACUCUUGAUAUUAGCAUGCAACACCCACAUACGAGCAAUAAUAAAUAAAUUAAAAAAAAGAUAUCGGAAGAGACGGAAAACAAACGUGCAAUAUGUGUCACACAUUCACGAUUGUAUGGAAAUAAGAAGAAAGCUACGAGUAUAUCUAAAUACAACCUCACAGCUUUGCUUGUCUACAAUAUAACUAACAUGACAAAUCUAUGUACAGAUUUGAUAUGCCAAUAAGUCAAAUUCAUUUAAAUGAAAUUUGUUUCUGAUACAUGAUUUUUUUAUUAAAAGAAAUUGUUAUGUAUCGUGAAUUUGUUUCUUUUUUUUUUAACAAAAAAUAUUUAUCAAUAAACUAAUUCUAAU